rnacentral:ribozyme from 13 species
ACACAUACACACCCAAACUACAAGCAACCAAAAAAGAUGAAGAGAAAGAAAAAAAGGAAGAACAAUUAACAGCAAAGACAAUAAAUAGUGUCACUCUUGAGUCUAUUUUUCAAAUUUUU